AAGUUUCCCCGUGUUGAGUCAAAUUAAGCCGCAGGCUCCACGCCUGGUGGUGCCCUUCCGUCAAUUCCUUUAAGUUUCAGCCUUGCGACCAUACUCCCCCCGGAACCCAAAGACUUUGACUUCUCAUAAGGGAUCGGCGGAUGUUGCUUAUAGGACUCCGCCGGCACCUUAUGAGAAAUCAAAGUCUUUGGGUUCCGGGGA